AGAGUUUGAUCCUGGCUCAGAUUGAACGCUGGCGGUAUGCUUUACACAUGCAAGUCGAACGGGCUUGGGGGCUUGCUCCCGGGUUAGUGGCGAACGGGUGAGUAAUAUAUCGGAACAUAUCCGGAAGUGGGGGAUAACGUAGCGAAAGUUACGCUAAUACCGCAUAUGCCCUGAGGGGGAAAGGGGGGGAUCGCAAGACCUCUCGCUUUCGGAGUGGCCGAUACCGGAUUAGCUAGAUGGUGAGGUAAAGGCUCACCAUGGCGACGAUCCGUAGCGGGUCUGAGAGGACGCCCACCACACUGGAACUGAGACACGUC
rnacentral:rRNA from 1 species